ensembl:lncRNA
CCUGCCCUUUUUCUGACCUAAGGUCAAAAGAAGAAAAAUUCUCCCCCUGGUGGUAGAGGACGGAUUGACCGGCUUGGCAUUAAUUCCUAUGGGAACUAAUGCUUCAACUUAAGAACGGCUCCUCUAGAUAAGAACCAAAAAAAUCCAGAAUGGAUUAAAUGGUUUUCAAUGCAUUCCUAUGGGAAAUUUUGCUUCUGCUUGCAAACAUUUCAACUAACAAACAUCUUCUGGGAUGGAUUAAGUUCAUAAGUAGAAGUUCCACUGUAUACAGUUGUAUUAUAAAUCGUAUUUAUAUCAAGAAAGUUUUAUUCUUCUGUCUCAGCAUAUUCUUCAGUCACAAACAGAGCUUGGCUCUCUGAAUUGUAGUGUAAAUUUCAUGAGCUGGCAAUAGGUUUUUUGCAAGCACCACAAUGUAACUGUUCCUGAUAGAAAAAUAUUUUAAGAAAGAGUGUAUGCUGGCUGCUUGAAUAUCUACUCAACUUUAGUUAAUUUUAAAGUUCAUUCAGACCACAAGUCUAUGCUUAUUAUGUUUGUUUAGGGAGGCCAACAGAUGCACUGGGAGCAAAUUAAAUACUCAUAGCUUUGUUACAGUAUAAACUUGUCAGAUGCAUGGGUCAUUAUGCAUGAAUGGUAAAAGUGGGACCAAAAGUCUGUAAAUUGUAGAUUGUAGUGCUACAACUGCAACAGUUCCAUGCAGAGCACAAAUGCAUUCAAGAUUGGGGUGGGGGGAAGAGUCACUGCUAUUAUCUGAGCAAACUUCCAGAUUGCUACUAAUAAUGGAACAUAAACGCGCAGCCCUGAUUAAAUAUGAGGACUUCUAGUUUGGAUUUUUGCAGCUUCAUAGAUGGUUCCCAUUGGAUGCUGUAGGCAAGAGAAAAAAUGUGGACAGCCACCCCUGAGACCUUGCCAUGUUUGCCUAUUCUGGUCUCUAUUUCUGAUAAAAAGAAGAAAAGCAUCUGCCUUGGCUCACUGCCAUACAAACAUGUUCUCCUUGGGAUACUCAUCCUAAUUACUAUAGAAGGCAGUUCUGUGUUAGCUUCUAGUCUAGUCUUUUCCAUGGGAGUUGACCAUGAAUCCUGCUAUCCUGAGUAGGAUACUUGUUUGCUCUUCCCAGAUUAGUAAGGGCAGAAAGCUAGUCAGCUUUGUAUUCUGUCCUCUCAAAACUAACACGUACAGCAAAUAUCCCUUCAACACCUUGUGUUUUUGGAUGGGGUGAAAACCUACCAGCUCCCAGCAGCUGUUUGGAAAAAAAGGUCUAGAUUGCAUUAAUGACAAGUAUCCCCUUAAAUAUUUUGCAUUGUGAGGAUGCUGUCCUCUGUGGGUGUAAGUCAAUUUGAUGGGCACAUUACAUUAUCACUGCUUCAGGAGUGUUUGAAGGACAUACGGGGUUGAGCUUUGCACAGAAGGUGUGUGUGUAAGAGAGAGAGAGAGUGCCCAUUCUUGCCUGCCACCAUAUGGGAUUCUCUAAGUGAAGAUAGAAGAUAGAAAGGUACUGGAAGAAAACCACUGAAGGACUUUUGGAGAAACAAAAGGACAGAAUGCCCUAGACAAAACUCUUGCACUGCAGUAAGUGAAAGGUGAAAUUCUGAAGAUGGAAGACUUUCUUCAAUAGUAUAUGUAUAGAUUGUGCACAAGUCCCUAAACU